UGACGAGCAGCGCUGUUCACUUCUUGUCUUUUGUUGCUGUAAAUGAAAUAAAAUGGAGGCCUUAAUAUUCAUCAUAGCUUUGCUGAUUGCGUUUAAAUAUGUUCAUUGUGACAUCACACUGACAGAGUCUGCUCCACAGAUGAAGAAGCCUGGAGAUUCCGUGAGGCUCUCCUGCAAAAUUACUGGAUUCUCACUCAGCAGCAACAGUGUGCACUGGGUUCGACAGGCUCCAAAUAAAGGGCUGCAAUGGGUUGGAUACUAUGGUGGUUCUUCUGACGAUCGUUUCAAAGUUACAGAAGAUUCAUCCAACAGCAUUGCUUACUUAGACAUCACCAAUCUCCAGUCCUCAGACACAGCUGUGUAUUACUGUGCCCGAGAGACACAGUGAGAGUGUUUAAGGCCCUGCUGUACAAAAACCCUCCACAGAUGAUUUAGCAGGCACUGUGUGACUGGCUGUGCUGUGUGGCCUAAAGACAUUUUCUGUUAUUGUUUUUCUCCUGGAUUUGCACCAUACACAAAGUUGAAAUUAAUUUAAGAAAAUAACAAACACAUUUAAUCCAACUUAAUUUUAUGUAUUCAAUUAUUCCUCUAUAUUAAGCUCCCAGUGGAUUCAAAGUGAGCAAUAGCUUGAGUAACAAGUGAAAGUUUGUGAA